rnacentral:rRNA from 1 species
AGAGUUUGAUCCUGGCUCAGGACGAACGCUGGCGGCGUGCUUAACACAUGCAAGUCGAACGGAAAGGCCCUUCGGGGUACUCGAGUGGCGAACGGGUGAGUAACACGUGGGUGAUCCGCCCUGCACUUUGGGAUAAGCCUGGGAAACUGGGUCUAAUACCGAAUAUGACCACGCUCUUCAUGGGGUGUGGUGGAAAGCUUUUGCGGUGUGGGAUGGGCCCGCGGCCUAUCAGCUUGUUGGUGGGGUAAUGGCCUACCAAGGCGACGACGGGUAGCCGGCCUGAGAGGGUGACCGGCCACACUGGGACUGAGAUACGGCCCAGACUCCUACGGGAGGCAGCAGUGGGGAAUAUUGCACAAUGGGCGCAAGCCUGAUGCAGCGACGCCGCGUGAGGGAUGACGGCCUUCGGGUUGUAAACCUCUUUCACCAGGGACGAAGCGCAAGUGACGGUACCUGGAGAAGAAGCACCGGCCAACUACGCGCCAGCAGCCGCGGUAAUACGUAGGGUGCGAGCGUUGUCCGGAAUUACUGGGCGUAAAGAGCUCGUAGGUGGUUUGUCGCGUUGUUCGUGAAAACUCACAGCUUAACUGUGGGCGUGCGGGCGAUACGGGCAGACUAGAGUACUGCAGGGGAGACUGGAAUUCCUGAUGUAGCGGUGGAAUGCGCAGAUAUCAGGAGGAACACCGGUGGCGAAGGCGGGUCUCUGGGCAGUAACUGACGCUGAGGAGCGAAAGCGUGGGGAGCGAACAGGAUUAGAUACCCUGGUAGUC